AAUUGGUGAUUGAAGUCAUCAACCUAUUCUUUUGUGAACACGUGUAUUCCACAUUUUGUUCAAAAUUCUCUGCUACUACACUUCAAUAGUACAAUCCAGAAACUCCUAUUAUCCUGAUCGAUCAUCUUCUUACUUUUCAUUGUUCAUCGGAGGCCUCCUUUUUGUUCCUUUCUUUUGCUCCUCUCUAACACCUUGAAUUCGUUUCACUUUUCUUUCAGAUUUCUGAAUUUGGUUCCAAAUUAUCACUUUUGAUUUUUCAAUUUCUCAAUUAGUGAGAGUUUUUUGCAUUCUUUUCUUUGUUUAGCGCACCCCUGAUUCUUCCAUGCCUCAUUUCUUAGUUUUCGUCUGAAUUUUUCCAUAUUGGUUACUAUUUGUAUCUGGCCUAUCUUGAAUCUAUGAGUUCUGCCUAGGGUUGUUGCCAUUUUUUCAAUUGUUUGCUAGCUACACCUGGUUGGACUUGCAAGAUACAAGUUGUUGAUAGAAGUCGAGAAUGGGAAAGCGGUGAGAAAAAAAUAAAAUUCUAGAAUCUUAUCUUGCAGGAUGAAGAGGUAAUCUCAUUUAUCGUCUAUGCAUGCACCAAAGUGUUUGAUGAUAUGCCUGAGUCAUUUUAUUUUGAUGAUAUGUCAGAGUCAUUUUAUUUGGAGUUUUCGAUUGCUCUUUCAUAGUAUGCAGUUCUUUGUCUUUUCCAUCUUUCCUUUGGAAUGGAGUGCUACAACCUUGAACUUCUUUUGGUUUCUUAUUCAUUGAACAUUACCAAUAUACUCUAUUACCGCUUCUUUUUCAUUUAAAUUGGUCUAUCAUAAGCGAUAAUUUUAUUUAUGUUUUUGUCAUUAAUAUGUUCUUCAAGCCGGGAGAAUGCAAAUAGUAUGGAUCAAAUGCUAGUUUUCAUGAUUUCUCAAAUAUAAAUUUAUAUUCCAGUUAUUUCCAAAUUUGAAAUGGUACAUAUGUUCUGAGAAUUGAUGUGUAAGAAACAGUGAUGGCACGAAUUAUCAAAAAUCAUAUGCACGAAUAGAUCAUCAUACCUUUUGAUGGGCAAGGGUGGUGCAAUGAUUGGUACUGCACAUAGUGAAUUAAUUUAGACCCCAAAUCUGGAGCAGUUUGUCCCAGACCUGGUUGCAUAUUCUAAUUAAGAUCUGAUAGAAAUCUUUUAUCUAAAGGGCAGAGUCGCCGAAGUGAGUCUAAAUGCCUCCAAUCAAUUGUGAAGUUAGCAAGAUUCUAAUGCUAUUUUUCUGAAACUGAUGACUAUAAUUAUAUACAAUUUAAGUAAUAAACUAAAAGUUACCUAGCCACAAGUCUAACUUGAAGAGUAGCUUCAUCCAUUCAUCGGAGAACUAUACAUUCACUUUUCUUGGCUAUAUGUUGAUCGAUGUAUAGCUUCUCAAAUGCAGUAGGGGCUGACAAUACUGCAUCAGAGAUAUCCCUUAAUUUAUAUCCCCGAGUUGAGUUUAUGUACUAGGAACAAGGAUCAUAGUUGGACAUUUUUCUAUUGGCUCAAGAUUACUACAGAGUUGAUGAAGAAAAGAUGAAGUAAGAAAAAGGAGUUGCGGAAAUAAUUAAUAAAUAGAUGGAGAGGAUUAUGAGAAGCCCUGGUUUGUAUUCACAAAAACUUCCAAAGGCUUUUGGUCUCAGAAACUUGUAUGUGUCAAUAUCAUGAGGUAUUGGUUUUCUAUCUUAAAUAGUAGUUGAAAUUAUGCCAUUUACCUUAUAGAUUAGUAAAAACUAUGUGAGUACUACUAAAUAAUGAUGAGCCUAUUUUCUAAAUGUAGAUUAUCUUUCAGUUAUUUCUACAAAUUUGAAAUGGUACAUGUAUUCUAUGUAUGGUGAUGGCCGAAGAACCAUAGUGUGAUUUUGCUCUUUUGUAUCACGCUGGACAUUUUGGUUGAAGGAUAGCUUUGCUUACUACUGGUCUAUGUCAGAAUGGAGAAAAAAACUAAUAGCACAUUCUAUGAUGAUGUAGUUUUUUUUUAAUAUAUAUAUAUAAUGUUUGAUUCAUGGGUCUUCUCAUGGGCUUAUUGUUAUAAAAUACCCAAUUAUACGGA